rnacentral:rRNA from 1 species
UACGAAGGGUGCAAGCGUUACUCGGAAUUACUGGGCGUAAAGCGUGCGUAGGUGGUGAGUUAAGUCUGUCGUGAAAGCCCCGGGCUCAACCUGGGAAUGGCGAUGGAUACUGGCUCGCUAGAGUGCGGUAGAGGAGAGUGGAAUUCCCAGUGUAGCAGUGAAAUGCGUAGAGAUCGGGAGGAACAUCAGUUGCGAAGGCGGCUCUCUGGACCAGCACUGACACUGAGGCACGAAAGCGUGGGGAGCAAACAGG